GAGAGAGAGAAGCAGAGGUGAAAGCAGCAGUGACAACCGUGACAGCGGCGCCGGCGGUUAGACAGGGCUAAAACCACACAAGGUUGACGACUGCCCCGGAAGCACUUUCCAGGACCUAUCAGGGAGAAGUCCCGGGCGCGGGCGCAGGCAGGAGUCAUUAUGGCGGCCCGCAUUGGCUCCAUGGCAGGCUUGCUCUGCGUUCGCUGGUGGAGUUCCGCGCAGCUCGCAGCCAGAGGAGGCCCGCUAGUUGCCAGCCAGCGAUGGGCGGGCUCCUCGGCAGACACCGUGUACGACGUGGUGGUGUCAGGAGGAGGCCUAGUGGGCUCUGCCAUGGCUUGUGCCUUAGGACAUGAUAUUCACUUUCAUGACAAGAAAAUCCUGUUGCUGGAGGCGGGUCCAAAGAAAGCCCUGGAGAAACUGUCAGAGACUUACAGCAACAGAGUCAGCUCCAUAUCCCCUGGCUCCACAACCCUGCUCAGCAGUUUUGGUGCAUGGGACCACAUCUGCAAUAUGCGCUGCAAAGCCUUCCGGAGGAUGCAGGUGUGGGACUCCUGCUCAGAGGCCUUGAUAAUGUUCGACAGGGACAACCUGGAUGACAUGGGCUAUAUAGUGGAAAAUGACGUCAUCAUGUAUGCCCUCACCAAACAGCUGGAGGCUGUGGCAGAUCGAGUGAAGGUUCUCUAUGAGAGCAAAGCUGUUGGCUAUUCCUGGCCUGGUGCAUUUUCCAUGGCAGACUCCAGCCCUUGGGUCCAUAUUACCCUAGGUGAUGGCAGUACCCUCCAGACCAAACUGUUGAUUGGUGCUGAUGGGCACAAGUCAGGAGUGAGGCAAGCUGCUGGGAUCCAGAAUGUCAGCUGGAAGUACGACCAGUCUGCUGUGGUGGCCACUCUCCACUUAUCAGAGGCCACAGAAAACAAUGUAGCCUGGCAGAGAUUUCUUCCCUCUGGGCCUAUUGCUCUGCUCCCGGCGGGCAUGUGCCACCACACCAGGCUGAGGCUCUUCUUUUGACACAGCUCUCGGAUACCUUGAGCUCCUUGGUCUGGUCCACAUCACACGAGCAUGCAGCAGAGCUGGUCAGCAUGGAUGAGGAAGAAUUCGUGGAUGCCAUCAACUCUGCCUUUUGGAGUGAUGUUCACCACACAGACUUCGUCGACUCUGCCAGCGCCAUGGUGCGCCAUGCUGUCGCCCUUCUGAAGCCCACUAAGGUCUCAGCCCGUCAGCUGCCCCCAAGUAUAGCCAAGGUGGAUGCUAAAAGCAGAGCCCUCUUUCCUCUGGGGCUGGGACAUGCUGCUGAGUACGUCCGGCCUCGGGUGGCCCUCAUUGGUGAUGCAGCCCACAGAAUCCAUCCACUCGCGGGACAAGGUGUCAACAUGGGCUUCGGGGAUAUUUCCAGCUUGGUUCAUCAUCUCAGUACAGCAGCCUUCAAUGGGAAGGACUUAGGCUCCAUGAGCCACCUCACAGGUUAUGAGACAGACAGACAGCGUCAUAACACUGCUCUCCUGGCUGCUACUGACCUGUUGAAAAGGCUCUACUCUACCAGUGCCACUCCCCUCGUGCUGCUCAGGACCUGGGGCUUGCAGGCCACGAACGCAGUGUCUCCUCUCAAAGAACAGAUUAUGGCCUUUGCGAGCAAAUGAGUGCUUCUCUUCUGGAGACCGUGAUGACAAAGAACACCUAGCCCUGGGGCCUUCCCAAUGUGGUUUAAUAAAUUUACACUAGAACUUG